rnacentral:rRNA from 1 species
CAGUCGCCACGGUAAUACGAAGGGGGCUAGCGUUGUUCGGAAUUACUGGGCGUAAAGCGUGCGUAGGCGGUUCGUUAAGUCUGUUGUGAAAGCCCCGGGCUCAACCUGGGAAUGGCAAUGGAUACUGGCGAGCUAGAGUGUGUCAGAGGAUGGUGGAAUUCCCGGUGUAGCGGUGAAAUGCGUAGAGAUCGGGAGGAACAUCAGUGGCGAAGGCGGCCAUCUGGGACAACACUGACGCUGAGGCACGAAAGCGUGGGGAGCAAACAGGAUUAGAUACCCGCGUAGUCCCUGUCUCUUAUAC